rnacentral:rRNA from 1 species
UAACCAUGCAGUCGACGCACUCGACCUUCGGGUCACAUGAGUGAGUGGCGAACGGGUGAGUAACACGUGAGAAACCUGCCCCGAAGACUGGAAUAACCCGAGGAAACUCGGGCUAAUACCGGAUAUCCCCACCAGGUCGCAUGGCCAGGUGAGGAAAUGCUCAGGCGCUUCGGGAGGGUCUCGCGGCCUAUCAGCUAGUUGGUGAGGUAACGGCUCACCAAGGCAACGACGGGUAGCUGGUCUGAGAGGACGAUCAGCCACACUGGGACUGAGACACGGCCCAGACUCCUACGGGAGGCAGCAGUGGGGAAUCUUGCGCAAUGGGCGAAAGCCUGACGCAGCCACGCCGCGUGAGGGAUGAAGGCUUUCGGGUUGUAAACCUCUUUCAGCAGGGACGAAAAUGACGGUACCUGCAGAAGAAGCUCCGGCCAACUACGUGCCAGCAGCCGCGGUAACACGUAGGGAGCAAGCGUUGUCCGGAUUUAUUGGGCGUAAAGAGCUCGUAGGCGGUUCGGUAAGUCGGGUGUGAAAACUUGAGGCUCAACCUCAAGAGGCCACUCGAUACUGCUGUGACUGGAGUCCGGUAGAGGAGUGUGGAAUUCCUGGUGUAGCGGUGAAAUGCGCAGAUAUCAGGAGGAACACCGACAGCGAAGGCAGCACUCUGGGCCGGUACUGACGCUGAGGAGCGAAAGCAUGGGGAGCGAACAGGAUUAGAUACCCUGGUAGUCCAUGCCGUAAACGUUGGGCACUAGGUGUGGGGUCUAGCUAACAGAUUCCGUGCCGCAGCUAACGCAUUAAGUGCCCCGCCUGGGGAGUACGGCCGCAGGCU